rnacentral:rRNA from 1 species
AACGAACGCUGGCGGCAUGCCUAACACAUGCAAGUCGAACGAGACCUUCGGGUCUAGUGGCGCACGGGUGCGUAACGCGGGGGAACCUGCCCUUAGGUUCGGAAUAACUCCCCGAAAGGGGUGCUAAUACCGGAUAAUGUCUUCGGACUAAAGAUUUAUCGGCUUUGGAUGGGCCCGCGUGGGAUUAGCUAGUUGGUAGGGUAAAAGCCUACCAAGGCGACGAUCCAUAGCUGGUCUGAGAGGAUGAUCAGCCACACUGGGACUGAGACACGGCCCAGACUCCUACGGGAGGCAGCAGGGGGGAAUAUUGGACAAUGGGCGAAAGACUGAUCCAGCAAUGCCGCGUGAGUGAUGAAGGCCUUAGGGUUGUAAAGCUCUUUUACCCGGGAUGAUAAUGACAGUACCGGGAGAAUAAGCUCCGGCUAACUCCGUG